GGGACAACCAGCCGAAAGGUUGGCUAAUACCGCAUGAGUUCUACGGAAGAAAGAGGGGGACCCGCAAGGGCCUCUCGCGAGCGGAGCGGCCGAUGACUGAUUAGCCGGUUGGUGAGGUAACGGCUCACCAAAGCAACGAUCAGUAGCUGGUCUGAGAGGACGACCAGCCACACUGGGACUGAGACACGGCCCAGACUCCUACGGGAGGCAGCAGUGGGGAAUUUUGGACAAUGGGCGCAAGCCUGAUCCAGCUAUUCCGCGUGUGGGAUGAAGGCCCUCGGGUUGUAAACCACUUUUGUAGAGAACGAAAAGACACCUUCGAAUAAAGGGUGUUGCUGACGGUACUCUAAGAAUAAGCACCGGCUAACUACGUGCCAGCAGCCGCGGUAAUACGUAGGGUGCGAGCGUUAAUCGGAAUUACUGGGCGUAAAGGGUGCGCAGGCGGUUGAGUAAGACAGAUGUGAAAUCCCCGAGCUUAACUCGGGAAUGGCAUAUGUGACUGCUCGGCUAGAGUGUGUCAGAGGGAGGUGGAAUUCCACGUGUAGCAGUGAAAUGCGUAGAUAUGUGGAAGAACACCGAUGGCGAAGGCAGCCUCCUGGGACAUAACUGACGCUCAGGCACGAAAGCGCGGGGAGCAAACAGGAUUAGAUACCCUGGUAGUCCACGCCCUAAACGAUGUUAACUAGUUGUUGGGAAGUAAUAUUCUCAGUA
rnacentral:rRNA from 1 species